CUCAGCUCUAAACUGGGUGUUUUGCAAACAGCAUGAGUUACUAUGUAUCCAGGUAGGUGGGGUCAGCACACAGCGUCUCCUUGUUUUCCUGUCUUGUAAUAAUUAACCCCUUCUCUUGGGGGACUCCAAGUAAUUGCCUUUCCUGUAAACAGUUGGUAAUUGCAACUGUGUGGUGGUGGCCUGAGAAAGUGGGAAUGCAGAGAAAACAGCAUUUCUGGUUUUGAGGACCUGCACGUGCAGAAGCAGGAGUGUGGCAUGUGCAGGUACACACAGGAACUGCAGAAUCAGGACAGUGCUUCCACUGCCUAGAACUUGGCCCUGGGCAAAACAGAUCCGAAAAUGUCCACUUUAAUCUGGACUUGACCUCCAAGGUUAUGGACCCAACAGAGAGUCUAAAUCAGAAGAAUCUGAUUGGGCAGUGCCCCCGCCCCCAGCUCCGGCAGCUGGAAGUACCAAAUCAGCUUCACUGGGUUACGAUCAGGGUGUUCACAGGGCUGCUUCCUGCUGGAGGAUCCAGGGUAGACUUUGUUUCCAGUACUAGGGAUCGAACUCAGGACCUUGUACUUGCCAAGCAGGCGUAGCACCACUGAGCUGAAUUCCCAGCCCUGCACAUGCACUGUUGUUAAAGGACCCUCUCACACUGCUUCUUGGCCUUUCUGCUAAGAUCAAGUGUAAAAUAUCCUCUUUCUCACUGAGAACCUUACAGUGGCUUUACAUUGCCUUAGGAUAAAUAAACAUCAAUAGCAAAAAUUAUUGAGCAACCUUUUCACCUACUUUCAUCUCAUCCCACCCUUACGAUGCUGUCCUCCCUGCUCAUCAUCCGUGAAGUGGGAGCAGCAGUUCUUUCACAGGGUUAGGGCAAGCAUCCACUUAGUUGUAUCAGGCAACGUACUGAGGAAACAGCCUGCCCUUGGUAAAUUCUUACGGGAGUUUAGCUGCGGUUUGGAGAAGAUGCUGUUCUGCAAAUAGGAAAAGAGCAACAGGAGAGUUUAAGACACUCACUCAGGCAGCUGGGCAUGGUGACACAUUGUAAUCUCAGCAAUCUGGGAGGCUCACAAGUUGGAGCCCAACCUGGGCAAUUUAGUGACUUAGCAAGACCCUGUCUCAAAAUAAAAAAUAAAAAAGGCUGUGGGAAUGUAUGUCAGUAUAUGCAGGCCUGGGUUCAAUCCCCAGUACCACAAGAGGAAGAACAAAAAGGAGGAGGAGGAAGAGAAAAAGGAGAAGAAAAAGGAGCAGGGGAAGAAGAGGGGGAGGAGGAAGAGGAAGAGACAGAAGAAGAGGAAGAGAAAAAAAGAAAGCAAAAACAAAAAGCAACCUGCCGUUUUUUUCUACAGCAGGAUUGGACCCAGUCCCAAUUCAGCCCUGGAGCCUCUUCCAUACCUGCCCUUGCCUCCACUCAGCAUGCACUGGGGCCCUCCUGCCUCUGCCCUUCCUAACAGUAACAUUCUAAAAUCCCUAUGGAAACACAAAAGACCCGGGGUAGCCAAAGCAAUCCUAAGCAAAAAGAGCAAGGUUGGGUACAGCGCAAUAUCUGAUUUAAAAUUUUACUACAGAUUAUACUAUAAAUUAUAGUAACAAAGUCAGCACGAUACUGGCACAAAAAUGGACUCACACACCAAUGAAAGAAUGGAGGAUGCAACCACAGCCAUCAAUUCCUGAUCAAAGGACCAAGAAUAUACUCCAGAGAAAAGAUGGCCUCUCUCACAAACAGUACCGGGAAAGCUGGGUAUCCACAUGUAGAAGACUGAAAUAGAUCCCUACCUCUUCCCAUGUAUAAAAAUCAAUUCAAACUGGGUCAAAGAUCUAGGUAUAGGUCCUGAAACUUUGAAACUUCUAGAAGAAAACAUAGGAGAAGCACUUGAAGCCAUAGAUACAAGCAAAGACUUCUCGAAUAGGACUCUAAUAGCACAAGGAAUAUGCAGCAAAAAUGAACAAAUGGGACUACAACAAAUUAAAAAUUUCUCCUUCCAAGGUGCCAAUAAGUACCAACAAGUAACAGAAUAAAAAGACAGCCUACAGAAUUGGAGAAAAUCUUUUCUGGCUAUUCCUCAGCAGAGGAUUCAUAUGUAGCAUAUAUAAAGAACUCAAAAAAUGUCACACCAAGCAAACAAAUAGCCCAACUAAUAAAUGAGCAAAUGAAUUAAACAGGCACUUCUCAAAAGAAGCACAGAUGGCCAGUUGUUAUAUGUAAAAGUGUUCAACAUUUUUAGACAUUAGAGAAAUGCAAAUCAAAACUAUAUUGAGAUUCUAUCUCAUCCCAGUCAGAAUGGCUAUCAUCAAGAAUACAAAAAGCAAACAAAGAAAAAACUCAACAAUGAAUACUGGUGAGGAAGUGGGGGAAAAGGAACACUUCUACACUGCUGGUGGAAAUGUAUAUCACUCUGGAAAUCAGUAUGAAGUUUCCUCACAAUAGUAAAAAUAAAACUACCAUAUGACCGAGCUAUACUUUGGUAUAUACCUGAAAGAAUUAAAGUCAACAUACUAUAGGGAGCCAGGGAUUUAGCUCAGUGGUUCCGCUGCCUGCCUUGAAAGCGCAAGGUCCCAAGUUCGAUCCCUGGUACCAAAAAAAUUUUUUUUAAAGUGAGCCUACUAUAGAGGUACCUGCACAUCCAUGUUUAUCAUGGCACAAUUCACAAUAGCCAAGAUAGGGAACCAGCCUAAGUGCCCAUCAACAUGUGAAUGGAUAAAGAAAAUGAGAUAUAUAUACACACAAUGAAAUAUCAUUCCACUAUAAAUCAGAACGAAAUUAUGUCACUUGCAAGAAAAUGGAUGGAACUUGAGAUGAUGUUGAAUGAAAUAAGACCAACUCAGAAAAACAAGUAUUUCAUGUUUUCCUUAAUAUCUGGAAUCUAAUAAAGAAGAUGGCAUGAAAGUAGAAGGAUGACUAUUAUUAGACAAGAGGAAGAGAAUAAGGGAGGGAGGGAAAUGGGGAUUGAUAUGAUCAAAAUAUGUUAUAAGCACGUAUGAAAAUACCACAUUGAAACCCAAUGUUUUGUAAAAUUAGUAGGCACUAAGAAAAAUAUAUUUUAAAAAACAAAAACAUCCAAAUCCAUCCCCCCCUAAAACAGAGAGACUGAACUGGGCCAGGCACAGUCAGUGUUCAUCCCUUUCUGUCUCCCUCUGCUCUGCCCCUGAUUCCUGACCUCCUGGAAUCACCUCUCA
ensembl:lncRNA